AUAAGUAAUGUGAAUCUGCAAGAAUUCACGUCGAAUCACUCGAAUCCUUUGAACGCACCGUUGCGCCCCAUUGGUAUUCCGAAGGGCAUGCCUGUUUGAGUGU
rnacentral:rRNA from 1 species